rnacentral:rRNA from 1 species
CCUACGGGGUGCACCAGCGGGGAAUAUUGCACAAUGGGCACAAGCCUGAUGCAGCCAUGCCGCGUGUAUGAAGAAGGCCUUCGGGUUGUAAAGUACUUUCAGCGGGGAGGAAGGUGUUGUGGUUAAUAACCACAGCAAUUGACGUUACCCGCAGAAGAAGCACCGGCUAACUCCGUACCAGCAGCCGCGGUAAUACGGAGGGUGCAAGCGUUAAUCGGAAUUACUGGGCGUAAAGCGCACGCAGGCGGUCUGUCAAGUCGGAUGUGAAAUCCCCGGGCUCAACCCGGGAACUGCAUUCGAAACUGGCAGGCUAGAGUCUUGUAGAGGGGGGUAGAAUUCCAGGUGUAGCGGUGAAAUGCGUAGAGAUCUGGAGGAAUACUGGUGGCGAAGGCGGCCCCCUGGACAAGACUGACGCUCAGGUGCGAAAGCGUGGGGAGCAAACAGGAUUAGAUACCCUCGUAGUC